rnacentral:lncRNA from 1 species
GGUUUAUUUCAGCUCAUGGUUUGCAGAAGUUUCGGUCCAUUGUCACCUCCAAGGCAGGGUGCCAUGGCAGAGGGGCACUGUCACAGAGGAGAGACAGGUCAUGGAAUGGCAGGAAGAAAGCAGCAAGCAGCAGCAGCAGCAAGCCCCCUGUCCUUUUUGUCCUACCCAGGUUACAAGCCUUUUGUAUGAUGCCACUCAAACUUCCCAGAACUGCAAUAAACCGAUCACUGGACCAGAAUAGUACCACACAUCCUUCAUCCCAAAAUCACACAUCCUAGAUCCAGCCACUUCUGAAAAGCUCCACCUCUGGAUGCAUGAGGCUUUGCGGGGAGACACCAGAUACAAACCCUCCCAGCCACUGACCAUGUCAGUGAGCAUCCUGCAAGCAGAUCCAAAUUUCCUGAGACCUAAAGAUAACUGUGACCCCAUUGAUGUCUUCAGGAAGCUUCUGGAGCUCCCUGGGCCUGAACCAGCCAGUGGCCAGAAGACAGAAGACAGUAGGUGCUCACUUCCUGACACCUCCAGCUCUGGAGGAUUUCCAUCAGUUCGAGGAACUGUUCUGAUGACUGUUUCCGCACAGCCGUGGAGGCCACCUCCUCCACCCCAGAAAGGCCAGCCUCGGGGCACCCGAGCCCUGUGGAAAGCAGCAUCACACAUCCCACCCUGACAGGCCAGGAGGGAGGAAGUCUGGAGGCUUCAG